AAUAGAACUUCAUUAAACAUGAUUGUAUGGAAUGAAGAGUCAUGACUGCCAUGUGUUUAUGCAAAUACUCAUCUCAUUAGCUUUUCGUGAUUUGUUUCCAAAGGGAAUAUGGGAUGCACUCACGGAGACCAGUCAUUUCUUAAGAGAUAUAUGCUCCAGCAAGUUGAAUGUUGAUCACAUUGAGAGGCUUCAAACGAAUAUCGUCGAAACACUAUACAAACUUGAGAUGAUAUUCUCUCCAUCAUUUUUUGACUCAAUGGAGCAUCUCCCUAUACAUCUACCGUUCGAGGCAAAAGUUGGAGGACCGGUCCAAUAUAAAUGGAUGUACCCAUUCGAACGGUUAGAUAUUACAGUUGCAAUGUAAUUCAUAUAUAAAAGUAUUUUAUAUGUUUUUCUUAAUUGAAAA